rnacentral:tRNA from 1 species
GUUGUGGCUCAGUGGUAGAGCGCUUGCCUAGCAUGCGAGUCACUAGGUUCAAUUCUCAGCACACA